rnacentral:rRNA from 1 species
AAGCCGGGUUACGGUGCCCAACUGCGCGCUAACCUAGAACCCACAAAGGGUGUUGGUCGAUUAAGACAGCAGGACGGUGGUCAUGGAAGUAGAAAUCCGCUAAGGAGUGUGUAACAACUCACCUGCCGAAUCAACUAGCCCCGAAAAUGGAUGGCGCUGAAGCGCGCGACCCACACCCGGCCAUCUGGGCGAGCGCCAUGCCCCGAUG